rnacentral:rRNA from 1 species
UACGUAGGGUGCAAGCGUUGUCCGGAAUUAUUGGGCGUAAAGAGCUCGUAGGCGGUCUGUCGCGUCGGAUGUGAAACCCCUGGGCUUAACCCUGGGCCUGCAUUCGAUACGGGCAGACUAGAGUUCGGUAGGGGAGACUGGAAUUCCUGGUGUAGCGGUGAAAUGCGCAGAUAUCAGGAGGAACACCGGUGGCGAAGGCGGGUCUCUAGGCCGGCACUGACGCUGAGGAGCGAAAGCGUGGGGAGCGAACGGG